GCACCUGUAGUCCCAGCUACAGGAGGGAGGCUGAAGCAAGAGGUUCGCUUGAACCUGGAAGGUGGAGAUUGCAGUGAGCUGAGAUCACACCACUGCACUCUAGCCUGGGCGACAGAACGAGACUCCAUCUCAAUGAAAAUAAAUAAAUAAAUAAAUAAAUAAAUAAAUAUAUAAAUAAAUAAAAAUUAUGAAGAAAGAAACACAGAGAAGAGGAGAGGCCAGAGGAGGAAUUUCUCUGCUGUAAAUGGAAGUAAAAAGCAGCAAUUUUACAUUAUGGUUUAGGCAUCCAGAUCUUCAGUAGGAAAAAGACAGGCAUUCCAACCACAAGACGCAGAGAAGAGCAGGACAGAGCCUCAAGAGGCAGAGAAGAGCAGGGCAAAGCCUCUGAAGCAGGAGAGGAAGAGACCAACUUAGGAGGACACCUCUGUAGGAAUGUCUGGACCAGCAGUACAGAUGGGGUGGAGGCAGGAGGUGAAGCUGAGAAAAUAAGCAAGGACCUGUUUCUGCUGCCCCAGUUUUGGGGGCACUGUUUGAAUGUGUCCAUCUAUUAUGUAUCAAAAAUAUAAUAAAAAUAAGUAAAUAAUUUAAAAAUAGGGUUGGGGGGAAUUUUUUUAAAGGGGUAGUCAAAGAGACCAUUCUGAUAGGAGGUAUUUGAAGAGGCAUCUGAUUAUGAAGUGUUUUGUAUGCUAUGCUGAGGAUUUUGAGCUUCAUCUUUAACAUGGAAAAUUUAGGAAAGAUUUUAAUGGUGCAAUGAAGCAAGGAGAUAAUGCAUUUUUUUUCUUAAGGUUACUUUUGGUGACAAUAGUUAGAAUUGAACAGGCUCAAAAAUUCCAGGGCUGGGCAAGUUGGCUCGCGCCUGUAAUCCUAGCACUUGGGAAGGCUGAGGUGGAAGGAUGGCUUGAGGCCAGGAGUUCGAAAGCAACCUGGUCAACAGAGUAAGACUCAAUCUCUACAAAGAAGAAAUGAAAUAAUUCUCCGGGCAUUGUGGUGUACACUUUCAUCCCAGCUAUUUGGGAGGCUGAGGUGGAGAAUCACUUGAACCCAAGAGUUGGAGGCUUUAGUGAGCUGUGAUCACACCACUGCACUCUAGCCCUGGCAACAGAGCAAGACCUUGCCUCAAAAAGCAAACAAAUAAAAAAGAACAAUAGGUUUGGAAGAUAUUGAAAAAGUCCUGAGUAGAAACUAAAUUGGGGUAGGAAAUGAAGAAAUAUUUUUAAGAGGCGUAAUCAUCCAAAAUCAUCCAAAUUUUGUUUAGAAAGACAUUGCUGACUGAUUUGAUUCAUUCAUCCAUGAUUCAUUCAUCUAUUUCUUUUUUUUUUCAUUCAUUCAUUUAUUCCACAAAUAUUUUGACUGCCAUGUAGUAGGCAUGCAUGUGUUGGGCAGUGAACCAAACAGAUGCUCAGCUCUCAUUUGGUUUAUAGCCUAGAAGGGGAAAAGUAUAAGAAGUAAAUAUAGUUGUGGAAUUACAGAUUAAUAGGUACAAUAUAUAGUUAGAAGAAAUAAGAUCUAGCAUUUGAUAGAUCAAUAGGGUGAUUAUAGUUAACAUUCUUCUAUUGUAUAUUUCAAAAAGUUAGAAAGUAAUUUGAAUGUCCACAGCAUAAAGAAAAGGUAAAACACUUAAGGCAAUGGAUAUCCCAAUUACUCCGAUUCAAUCUUUAUGCACAAUAUGAAUGUAUCAAAUUAUUAUAUGUACCCCCAAAAUAUAUGCACCUAUUAUGUAUUGUUAACAAAUAAUAAAAAUAAAUAAAAUUGUUAACAUAGGGUUGACAGGACUAUUUUUUUAAUGGGGUCGUUCGAAAGACUGUUCUGAUAAGGAAAUACCUGAGUAGGCACCUGAAAGAAGUGAAGGAAUGAGCCCUGUAAUAUAUUCAGGACACAGGUUUUCUGGACAGAAUCAAUGGUAUAAUCAUAGUCCCUAAAGCAGUGCAUGCUGGGAAGGUGUUUUUGUGAGAGGAGGAGCAGUCUGGAGGGUACUGCAUUUUCAGAGAUUGUCCUUCGCCUUCAGUGUCUCUUUUCUUUGUCCCCAGUCAUAAAACCUCCCUUGCUCUCUCUCAGAGUCUAGAAUGUCCUACUAGCUGUUGGAACCUGCUGGAGUUCUAAAGGCAUGCGAUGUCCUGAAUGUGCUUGACCAAUGGACACAGCAGGUUGAUCAUUCAUUCUGUUAGACAAAUUCUUGCAACAAUCACACUGGAAGUAAAUCUGCCAGCGACAAUCUCAGCAAGAUGGGUUCUCACAGGGACAUUAGGUCCCCUGCCUGUGAAAUAUGCUAGGCAAGUAUUGCAAUGUUGCGCUUGUGGAUUAAGGACUAAUCAAAGAGCAUGAGAAAGACACCAGGACUAAUAGACAUAUAAAUGGUGAACCUGAAUUUGAAGUGGCAGGAGAGGGAGAAUAGGGCAUGGCUUUUAAAGGAAGGUAAUAUGCCUCAUGAUCCCUCAGCCUUCUCCAAACACACCAGCUUCCUCCUUCGUCAUAUUUACUGCUUCUGCCAUACAGUUACUCGUUGUUCUCUAAACACAUUAAACUGUACCACGGCUCCUCAUACUGCAUUUGCAAAAUGUAAUUUUCAUUUCAAUAUAUUCCUCCCAACCCCCUUAAAAGUAUGGUAAACUCUUACUCAUCCCUCCGAACCUGUUUUAAGCUACAUUUCCUCCUUGAAGCCAUACUAGAACACUUGCCUACUCCUUCUACAGGGCUGUCAUGAAACUAUAUGCAUUUGUCAAUUACUACGUAUUUUACACUGAAUCACAAUUAGUUGGUUUUCAUGUGUGUGUCUCUCCUUAUGCAAUGAGUUCUUGGAGGCAGGGCUUACACUUAGCACAAAGCAGAUGCCCCGCUCAGAGAAAGUGCUCACUAGAUAAUUGUUGAACUGAACUAAACUGAAGGGGACAUAGAAACAGUCUGGGCAAAGCAGGGAACCAGAGUUGCUGGUCAUUCCAGUGACAGGCACAGAAUGUCCCUUCUGUGCAGUGUGCUAAAGGCCUGCCAAGGAUCCUAGAUGCUUUAAAACAUUUUUCGGCUGGGCACGGUGGCUCACGCCUGUAAUCCCAGCACUUUGGGAGGCUCAGGCAGUAGAUCACCUGAGAUCAGGAGUUUGACACCAACCUGGCCAACAUGGUGAAACUCUGUCUCUACUAAAAAUAUAAAAAUUAGCUGAGUGUAGUGACAUGCGCCUGUAAUCUCAGCUACUCUGGAGGCUGGGGCAGGAGAGUCCCUUGAGGCCAGGAGGUGGAGUUUGCAGUGAGCCGAGAUUGCACCAUUGCACUCCAGCCUGGACAACAAGAGUUAAACUCUGUCUCAAAACAAACAAACAAACCAACAAACAUUUUUCAUGGGUAUACCCAUGUAAGUGUACAUGAGAAGCGCAGAGGAGUAGCACAGAAUCACAGAUUCUGUGAUAGCUAAGAAUCAUAGGAUCUUAGCUUGGGAUGAAUUUUUUAGAUAAUUUUUCCCAAAUCUGCAUCAAAUCACUUUGAUAGCAUUAAAAUUAUUGAGAUUCCUGAGACCAAUUGUUGACUUAUUGUAUUAUUCAUGCAUCUAUUCAACACCCAUGUACUGAACACCCUUACUUGUGAGGAUGCUGGGGUGGGCAUUGGGUACAGAGUACUGAGUAAAGCUAACAUAGGCCCUGAAUUAAUACAACUUAUAGUCUUAAAGCAGGGAGGAGGGGUCAGACAGUCAUUUAUCAGUUAAUCACACAAAUAAAUAUAUAAUCAUACGCUGUGAUUAAGAAAUAUUUCAGGGUGCUAAUGAGUAUGUCAAUGGCAGGAUCUAACCUUGUCUGAGCUGAGCUCCAAAAGAUAAGUAGAAGUCAAACUGAUGAAUGUAGGUGGAAGGGUGGAAAACAUCAGGCAGAGAAAACAGUUUGUGCCAAGGCCCUGCAGCCAGAAGGGAAUUUGAAGCUGGGUGAUAUGUGAAGCAUUGAAGGCAAGCCCAUGUGGUUGGAGCACAGAGGGAGGAAGCUGGAGAGGUGAGACCAACAAGGAACUUUUAGACUAUAGUAUAGAGUUUUUAUUUCAGUCUUUGUUCUAAGAGCUACAAAAGGUCUUCUAGGAGAUUUCAUCAAGAGAGUAAAUGUUGAGUCAUAGCUUUGAUUAAAAAGAUUGCUCCGGCUGCAGUAGGAAGAAGAACUAGUAUAGAGUCAGGUCGGCAAGUCAAGGGUUCCUGGCAGUGGUCUAUGUGCUUGUAAAAGGAUAGUAAUAGUGAGGAUAGAAAAGUUGGUGGUUGAAAGAGAUAUUUAGGAAGAUAUAUUGACAGGAAUUGGUAAUGGAUUGAAUAAGCAUGAAGUGGAAGAUGAAGAUAGACUAUGGAGAAUAACUACCUUUUCUGGAGCAAAUGAAUAGGUGUGAGAAAUCAUUACCAAAAUAAAGAUUUGGUGAGAAUAAGAGUGUCUUAGUCCCUUUAGUGUUGCUCUAACAGAAUACCUGAUCUGGGUAAUUUAUAAAGAAAAAAAAUGUUAUUUGGCUCACAACUCUAGUGGCUAGAAAAUCCAAGAGCAUGGCACUGGCAUCUGCUCAGCUUGCAGAGGGUUAUGUGCUGCCUUACAACAUAGCAAAGAAGAAAAAUGUCAAGAGACAGCGUGCAAACACAGCAAAACAUGAGGAGAAGCUUCACAACAACUCAUUCUUGUGGUAAUUCAUCCAGUCCUGCAAGACAGAAGUCAUCCACUCCCACAAGACAAUAUUUAUCUGUUCAUGAGGGAUCUGCCCACUGGACCCAAACACUUCCCUCUAGGUCCCACCUCCCAACACAGCUGCAUUGAGGACCAAGCCUCAACAUGAGUUCUGGUGGCGACAAACCAUAUUCAAACCAUAGUACAGUCUCUCCAGAUUUGAGAAAACUUCUAGGGUCUGUAUUUUCAGCAAGGAUUCCAUGCGAUUCUUGUUAGCCAACAUGGUACAGGUACAGAGACUGGCAUUCAAGAGUCUCUGGUCACAUAUCCUACAACAACCCCACAAGUUGUCAGUUCUCAGUGAAUGUUCAGUGUUCCUAUGUUUUACCUGCAAAUAUGUGUCUGAAUCUCAGUUCUUCUUGGCACCUACUUAUUUCCAGCCUUGUUUGAGUCUCCAGCUUAGGGUUGUUGUGAGGAUUACAUAAGGCUAGUUAUUCAACUCCGAAAUAUUUAUUAAGUUCCUACUAUGUGCUAAGCUUUGUUCUAGGUAUGGGUGCUUCAGAAUAGAACAUACAUGAUACAUGCCCUCAAGAAGCUCAGAGUCCAUAGAGAAAGGUAGAUGUAGUAUUAAAUAGUUUUUCAACAGAAUUAAAUGCUCUCCCAUAUGAAAGCCCAGAGAAGUGAGUGAUGACUUCCCAAAACGUGGAGACACUUGAAAUAAGUCUGCUGGGAUGAGCAGGAUUAAGCCAGACAAAGUUAUGAGCGAAUGUUUGAGUCAACCUUUUGGAUACAGAGGCUACCAGAGUAGGCAGUUGACAUCUCUUCUCUCCCUUUUUGUCUCUUCUAUUUACCUCCUUUCUUCCAUAAUCAAGUACCAGUCCUGUCCUGUCUCCAUUAGCUGCUAUCUUUACCUUCUAUCUCCCAGAAAUGUACAAAUUAUGUAAUUCAAGUUUCUAUAACUGCCUUCCCCUCCAUACUAAAACAUGUUACUACACCUUGGUUUCUGUCUUCUUAUUUUUCUGAAUCUGCACUAGUCCUUUCAUUGCUAUAGCUGUCCUUCCUCUGUUCUAAGGCUCAUGGCACCGUUGUAAGCCCAGGGCCCUAUGCUGACACUCAUAUAACAACAUUUUGCUCCAUCAGUUACUAAAAGUGCCCUCUUAUAUCAGCAGUCUCCCUGUCUUUGGAGAGUAUACAACAUGUAUUCUCAUCCCAUUUUUCCAUUAUGUUCAGAGCGGUUGAAUGACUUGUACAAGUUAAUGCAAGUAGUUGAGGCAGAAAUGAUACUUCAAUCGAGAUCUUCAAACUUCCAAGUUCAGUUCACUUUCUUCCAUAACAUGUUAUCUCAAAAAUACCAUUUGCCAGAGAUAAGUAAUGCUAAAUCAUUAACACUGCUCCACAACAAAGACCCCACACUUUCUAGAGCCAGCAAUUAGCUUCAGAUGUAUUUGUUGCAAAUGGCUUCAAAUGUAUUUGUUAAACUUUGAACUUUGUAUCAUUUUAAAUUUAUUUUAUUAUUUCAUUUUAUUAUUUUCAGAAGUGGAAACAGCUGGCUUUACUAAACCCUAGGGUCAUUUCACUUUCCUAUGGCUGUCUCUACCAAGUGUAGCUGGUCUCUUUUGAAUACGUGUUGCAAGCUUGAGUUAUGUGCCUCUGAAAUAUGUGGCCCAGGAGGGAAAAUCUGGCUUCAUAGCUCACUUGGUUCACUUAACCCAUGACUGCAUGAAAUUGCUCCUCAAAAUGCAUUUCUGUCUCCAUAGACUCCUAGUGGGGAGGGGCCUAUUGCAUGCAAUGUCUUAAUGUGGGCAGCUUUCCUGACCUCUGCAUGUAGGCUGGGUAUCCCUUGCAGUUGGGUGGGAUGUGACUGCACAUCCAUUUCAAAUGCCCUGAAACUCAGGAUGUGCUCCUGAGGUGCUCCCCAUGCCAGGAUGUGCCUGUGGUUUCCUCAAGAGCUACUUGGAUACACCGCAUACCCUUGGAUCCAGCACUGCUAGAGACUCUGCAGAAACUCUGCAACUUUAACUGGAAACCUCUCUACUGUUGUUGUUCCCUUGGAAAAUGACUAUUUGCCACUUCAGCUGCCAAAUAUCUCCUCCCAAUAUGUUCUGUGAGCAUUCAGUCUGCUCAAAGUCUUGUGUAAUGGUGGAUAUAUGAUGACAUUUGUUUCAAGCUAGGCUCACAUAUCCAUCUAUCUCAGGGGCUACAUGAUUUACUUGCCAUUUUUUAAACUUUUACUUGUAAUUAACAAAUAAUAAUUGUAUAUAUUUAUGGGAUACAAUGUGAUGUUUUCAUAUAUGUAUACAUUGUGGAAUGAUUAUAUCAAGCUAAUUAAAUUAGGCAUCAUCUCAUAUACUUUUCUAUACUGAAAACAUUUAAGGCCUAUUCUUUCAGCAAUUUUGAGAUAUAAAAGACAUUAUUGUUAAUUAUGGUCACCACACUGUGCAAUAGCAUUGAAAACUUAUUUGUCAUGUCUAACUAAAACUUUGUACUCUUUGACCAACAUUCUCCCAUUCCCUGUACCCCACCCCUCUCCACCCCACCCUCUGGUAAACAUCACUCUACUCUCUACCUUUAUAAGUUCAACUUUUUGAAGAUUCUGCAUAUGAGAUUAUACAGUAUUUGUCUUUCUGUGACAGGCUUAUUUUACUCAGCACAAUGUCCUACAGGUUCAUCAUGUUGUUGCAAAUGACAGGAUUGCCUUCUUUUUUAAGGCUGAAUAGUAUUCCACUGUGUAUAUGUUUUCUAUAGCCAUUCAUCUGUUGAUGGACACUCAAGCCAAUUUCAUACUUGGCAAUUGUGAAUAAGGCUGCAGCGAACAUGGGAAUGCAGAUAUCUCUUCAACAUAUUGAUUUCCAAUCCUUUGGAUAUAUACCCAGUAUUAGGAUCACAUGGUAGGCUUAUUUUCAGUUUUUUGAAGCUCCUCCAUGCAGUUUUCCAUAGUGACUAUACUAAUUUACAUUCCCUCCAACAAUGUACAAGGAUUCCCUUUUCUCUACAUCAUUGCCAACCUUGUUAUCCCUUGUCUUUUUUUGCUAGUAACCAUUCUAACAAGUGUAAGGUGAUAGUUCAUUGUCAUUUUGAUUUGCAUUUCCUUGAUGACUAGUAACAUUUAAAAAAUAUCCUAUUGGCCAUUUGUAUGUCUUCUUUUGAGAAAUAUCUAUUUCAGUUUUUUGUCCAUUUUCAAACUGGGUUACUUGUUUUCUUGCUAUUCAGUUACGUAUGGGAAAAAAUCAUAUGAACUAAAGAGAGUUAUUCUUGACUGCCUUGUUAUAUCUUGUUUACAUAUCAUAAGCAUUAAUUUUUAAUUUAUUAAAUAAAUCAAUAAAUAUUUAUGAGUGUUAUGUAUUCCUAUGUCAAGUUAUUUACAUUAUAAUAUCACUUCCACUCAGUUGAUUUCUUUGUUGACAGCACCCUCUUUAUGACUAAUGCUAAAACCUACUUGGAUUGAUUUAGACAAAAGGACACUGUUUCAGGAAAAAUUCUGGGGAAAUAAUUAAAAAUAUGACCUUGAUGACUUUCAAGGGCCACAAUCAUCUAGAGGAAAAUUAACUAUCUUUAACAGUGGGUUUACUGCAUUUGGGAAGUAGAAUCAUUCACUUUAGAAAAAUAACUAUAAUCAUGGCGGAUGAAAUAAAAAGAGAUUUUUGAAUUGUUUGUGUAAGCCCAAAUGUUGAAGUUAACUGUUUUUGUGAGGUUUUCCACUUGUUUGCUUUUGUUUUUGCAUAUAGAGAAGUAGAAAUGUUGCCUGGCUUUCUUCUGAGUCUGGGUAAAGCUCGAGGGAGGGGUAUAAUGGAGGGAACUAAUGCGAAUUGAGCUAGACUUGGUGCAGUCAUAUGCAAGAUCUCAGUUCAUAUCACAAACGCCCUUAGAAGGAGAUUCAGCUAUUCUUGUUUUCCAGAUAAGGAAAGUGAGGAUCGAAAGGCCUCAGACAUGAUCACAUCCAGUCGAAGCCUGAGACCUGUGGCCCCUGACUCUUUAGAAUCCCUUUCAUCAGACUAUAAAAUUUCUUGUCAGACAAUGAGGUUUUCUAGAUAUACAAUCAUGUCGUCUGCAAACAGGGACAAUUUGACUUCCUCUUUUCCUAACUGAAUACCCUUUAUUUCCUUCUCCUGCCUAAUUGCCCUGGCCAGAACUUCCAACACGAUGUUGA
rnacentral:lncRNA from 1 species